CAGCCGCCGCGGUAAUACGUAGGGUGCGAGCGUUAAUCGGAAUUACUGGGCGUAAAGCGUGCGUAGGCGGUGAGUUAAGUCUGCUGUGAAAUCCCCGGGCUCAACCUGGGAAUGGCAGUGGAUACUGGCUCGCUAGAGUGUGUCAGAGGAUGGUGGAAUUCCCGGUGUAGCGGUGAAAUGCGUAGAGAUCGGGAGGAACAUCAGUGGCGAAGGCGGCCAUCUGGGACAACACUGACGCUGAGGCACGAAAGCGUGGGGAGCAAACAGGAUUAGAUACCCGCGUAGUCCCUGUCUCUUAUAA
rnacentral:rRNA from 1 species